UUAAGAAUUAUUUGUAAUAUUAGGUAAUAGAAACUGCAUCUUGUAUAAAAAUAGGUUCUUAAUCUUAGGGAAUUGGAGUUAUACUCACACACAACGUAACAAGGAAGUGAAUGAUCAGGUGAUAGAAUUGAAACGGCAGUUAUCUCAUCGAGACUAUGUGAACAUGCUGGCUCAAAGAGAUGAUUCUCAUUAUACAGUGUACAAGCUACGGCGUUGUUUUCUCUGGCAAAACAUGUACUUUCAGAUGGAUAUCUACAAACGACCUUGUCAUCCAAGGUGUGAAGGUUUAAUUCUGUUAGAAACCUACACCACAUUAACAGGUGAAGAGCUUAAUAAAAGGCUUCCACCAUUUCUAGACAUCAAACGAGAAGUAACUCAAGAAGCAACUUUUUCAAUGUUCUACUUGUCUCUCAAAGAAGACUCCAAACCCAACAAGUUUAUCAUUACUUCAAAUGGUUCUUAUGGCAAUGAUAAACUCAAGGCCCACUGACAGAAGUCUAGAAUUUGGCAUAACUUUAAGUUGACUUUUAUCUGAAAUAUUUUAAUUAGAAGUUGUUGUUUUUUGUGGUUUUGAAAUGUUUAGAUUUUGAGUGUAAAGAUAUUCAGUUAAUGUUUCCCUCUGUUUAUCAUUAUUUCAUAUUUCUUGAAAGAAAUAGUUAUAUUUUUUGUGCUUUACUACUCAGAAAUCAUUUAAAAAAUGGUAUGGGUGAAUUGGGUAUGAGAAAAAUAAAUUUAAAGCUUGAAAUAAGGUAUAACAACUUUUCACAAAGAUAUACAAUAUUUAUGUAAAUUCUGUACACAGUUCAUACUAUGUAUGCUUUGAGGGCAUUAAAUGGAACAUAUUUAAAUACCUUAAGAAUUUUAUCCUUCCUUAGUUGUGAUCUGAUGGAUGUUCCUAAAGUUAAUCAUAGAACUUAGUCUUUCCUAGUCUUUUUUUAUGUUGUUUUUUCCUGAUUUAGUAUAGUGAUAUAACUACAUAUAGAUUACUUGGAUUAGAACAGGAAUUGUUUUUUAUAAAGGCUAUGUAUGUGAUUCAAAACAUAGUGAUUUGGAACAUGAAGAUAUUCCCAGAAACGAUUGUUGUUUUAUUUUACCAAAGUGUGUGAUACAGACAUGUACUUAUAUAAAAAUAGGUUAGAGAACUCUUUAUUGUUCAACUAUUUGUGAGAUAUAUUGUCCCAGUUACUUUCAUCACGACAGACUAAAACCAAUUAAAUUAUUAUUGAUUUAUUACAUCAGUAGCAUAGGUUUGCUUGUAAAUUCUCAGUUAGUUGAUAAGCAUUUAUUGACUUACCUAAUCAAGUUCAGUAUAACACAGUCAUAUCUAUUAAGUCAAUGACUUCCCUACAGCAAUAAAUCCAAUAUGACUGACAACAGUAAUUUAAUUAAUUCUAUUUCUACUAAGCAACCUUUCUCAGUGUUUCUAAUAUUACACUGUAAUUUAUAUCCUAUUGGUGGUGAUAUUAUAUGGAAGUUUGGUACCUUAUUUUAUAUCCUACCCAUGGUGGUAUUAUAUGGAAGUUUAGUACCUUAUUUUAUAUCCUACCGAUGGUGGUAUUAUAUGGAAGUUUGGUACCUUAUUUUAUAUCCUGUUGGUGGUGAUAUUAUAUGGAAGUUUAGUACCUUAUUUUAUAUCCUGUUGGUGGUGGUAUUAUAUGGAAGUUUAGUAUCUUAUUUUAUAUCCUACCGAUGGUGGUAUUAUAUGGAAGUUUGCUACCAUAGUUUAUUGAAUGUAUUACCCCAGAUGUUGUUUAUAGAACCUAUAAACAAUAAGUAAAAUUCUGAUGUGAUUAAACCUUUACCUUGUCAAAAGGUAUUACACAGCUGAUAGAUUACACACUAAUAGAGAGCAGAACUUACCACUAAAACAUCUCUUUUUAUUUUCGUCGCAAAGCAAAAGCAACAUUUAAACUUCUUCUUCUUAAGUUGGAUGCUGGACCAAUACUGUCAUUUAUGCUGUUGUACUUAAUUAGAGAUUAAUAAUUAUAAUUCUAUAAGAAAUUUCAUAUAUAUAACAUCAUGAUGGUUCUUUGUUAGGACAAAUAUUCGUGUAAAACAAAUGUAAUUUAUUCAUGUAUAAACUUAGUUUAGUUGUAAAGAAAAUUGGAUUUUUAGGGUGCUUGGUUUGAUAUUUUUCAGUUCUCUUGAUGGUUUAUGUUAAGAUUUUUUUCUUUAUCAGUUGAAAGUUUACCUUUGAAU
rnacentral:lncRNA from 1 species